GAUGAACGCUAGCGGCAGGCUUAACACAUGCAAGUCGAGGGGUAGAAGGAGCUUGCUCCUUUGAGACCGGCGCACGGGUGCGUAACGCGUAUGCAAUCUACCUUUUGCAGAGGGAUAGCCCAGAGAAAUUUGGAUUAAUACCUCAUAGUAUGUGAGGAUGGCAUCAUUUUCACAUUAAAGUCACAAACGGCAAAAGAUGAGCAUGCGUCCCAUUAGCUAGUUGGUAAGGUAACGGCUUACCAAGGCUACGAU
rnacentral:rRNA from 1 species